ACCCAAAUCAAAACACCCUCUCUCUCUCUCUCUCUGCAUUGUGAUUGGACAAUUUGAACCAUAGAUCGCCCCACCACCACCAUUGGCAGUGGCUUCGCACUUGAUCUCUUCUUUCCUCAAUGUCUGACUUGUUCUCUCUCCUCUCUUCUUACGCUUUUAAGCCCAUAACUGAAAACCCAAAUCGAUAGUGACUAGGUAGACUGACAGGUCUAGAUCUAAAAGAGAGAGAGAGAGAGAAGCACAAAGGAGAUCCAAGUUAGAAGAGGGUUGAUUGGAUUGGGUUUUCUCUAGGAUCUAUGGUGGAUCUGUGGUGUUGGGUGGUUGAGUUGUGUUGAAUCUGUGUUUGAUGAUUUUGGCUGAAAUUUAUGGAAGAACAAAUGCCUUUGCCUUGAUCGAUGCUCUCUCCCUUUUUCAAGUCUAAAGCAAAUGAGGCGGCUUCAUCUGCAAAUAAAGUUGAUCGAUUCUGUUGUAGUUGACCAGUGACACAAGUAGAAGCAAAGAAAAUGGUUGGGCAAAGAUGAAGAUGUGAGGGCUUAAUGUUCUUACUCAAUCUCAAGAAAGAGAGAGACACCCAAGUACACAGGAAGUAUACAAGGGUGUACAAAUCAAAUACAAAAAUUACAUAAAUCAAGUAAAUCCAAAAUAGAAGAAAAAGAUUGGUUUCUCCACUUAUCAGGCUCUCCUUAAUGGCUUUAGGUGGUACUGAUUAUAGUUAUGUUUCCUUAAAUUGGUUAUAGUUCAAGGAAUAGGCAUCUUUAGUUUAUGCCUAUGAGGAGAUUUUUCUUGUUAUGGAUGUCUUCAUUCAUCUCUUCAUUUGUUACUUGAGAGUCUAAUUUCUUUAAAUUUGAAGGCUAGCAGUGCUGCUGAUGCCGUCAAAAGCGCCAUUUCUGCUACCUCUUGUUGUCUGAUAGAGAGUUUGUAUGGUGCAAACUCAAAUUUCCAAAAAUUUUAAGAUGCAUGACUGUUGUCAGAAAACCCAUUUUAGAGAUUGGGACUUAGUUUUGGAUGUGCAGACUAUGUAUUGAUUCCAUUUAUCAGUAGCUCACAGAAUAUUUUCCCUAUCGUAGGAAUUGGUAUGACUUCAUAUCCUUGACUCUGGUAACUAUUUAGCGAAAUUAAAUCACUUAUCUUUUCUAUGUGUCGUGAAGAUGGUUUGUUCUAGGAAAACUUUUUAGUUUGUAGCUCUGCUUAGAGAUUUUAUCAUUAUCUUUUCUUUUAAAUGUAAAUUGAAGUUUUUCUCUAUUAAUUCUU